rnacentral:rRNA from 1 species
CCUACGGGGGGCAGCAGUGAGGAAUAUUGGUCAAUGGGCUUACGCCUGAACCAGCCAAGUCGCGUGAGGGAAGACUGCCCUAUGGGUUGUAAACCUCUUUUGUCAGGGAGCAAUUGGCGCUACGUGUAGCGUUAUCGAGAGUACCUGAAGAAAAAGCAUCGGCUAACUCCGUGCCAGCAGCCGCGGUAAUACGGAGGAUGCGAGCGUUAUCCGGAUUUAUUGGGUUUAAGGGGUGCGUAGGCGGAAUGCCAAGUCAGCGGUAAAAUCGCGGGGCUCAACCUCGCUCCGCCGUUGAAACUGGCGGUCUUGAGUGGGCGAGAAGUAUGCGGAAUGCGUGGUGUAGCGGUGAAAUGCAUAGAUAUCACGCAGAACUCCGAUUGCGAAGGCAGCAUACCGGCGCCCAACUGACGCUGAAGCACGAAAGCGUGGGUAUCGAACAGGAUUAGAUACCCUAGUAGUC